rnacentral:lncRNA from 1 species
UACGUAUUUCUUUUUGCGAGCACAUGUCCAUUCAUUCAAGACUCUGAUAAUUUUUGGGGUGAAGGCUACAACAAUCCAUAUAUAGCCUCCUUACACAAAGACAGCCACCAAACGGAAGCAACCAAAUCACCACAUGUUGCUUUUUAUUAAGCGCACACGAGAUCACAUAAUAACGAACUAAACUUAAAUCGUCCCUAGUAAAAAUAAAAAUGCACCUAAACUCUCCUAAUUAAGAUUCAACCCGGACAUGACGUCGACCGAUCGUGACGCCAAGAUCGAUGACGCUAUCUAGUUGGUGCCCUUGACGAUGAGCUCGAGGGCAGUGGCGGUGGUGGGCAGCGCUGGAAUGGCUCCCUUCUUGGUGGUGCAGAUGGCUCCGCAAGCGUUUGAGAAUUGCAACACCUCCCUCAGCUUGGCCUCAUUCUGUUCAGUCAAAAGAGAACUUCAUAAUUAGCAACAUACUCACUCACUCGAUCAUACUGGAAUUCAAUCAUGCAUCUGAUAAUAUAUCUUCUUACGUAGAAGAUGGAGUCGUCCUUGGCGACAUUGAGGAGAAGGGAUCCAACGAAGGCAU